rnacentral:rRNA from 1 species
UGAACGCUGGCGGCGUGCCUAAUACAUGCAAGUCGAGCGAACGGACGAGAAGCUUGCUUCUCUGAUGUUAGCGGCGGACGGGUGAGUAACACGUGGAUAACCUACCUAUAAGACUGGGAUAACUUCGGGAAACCGGAGCUAAUACCGGAUAAUAUUUUGAACCGCAUGGUUCAAAAGUGAAAGACGGUCUUGCUGUCACUUAUAGAUGGAUCCGCGCUGCAUUAGCUAGUUGGUAAGGUAACGGCUUACCAAGGCAACGAUGCAUAGCCGGCCUGAGAGGGGGUGAGGCGACACAGGAGAGCAGACACGGUGACGAGGCACAUGGGAGGGAGAAGUGGAGGAGAUUGUGCAAAAGGGGAGAGAGUCACAGAGAGCAGCGGCGUGAGAGAUGAAGAUGUUUGCGUAGCGAAACACUCUGUUAAGAGAGGAAAACAUAUGUGAGAAACUAUGUGCAUCUCGUCACGAUACAAUAACAGAGAACCGCCGCUACCUACG